GUUUUGGAAGUGGAAUUAGGCUUAUCCCAGUUUCUGCUGAAAUUAAAGCAAGUCUUUUGACUUAAGUCAAAUACGCCAUCCUCCUUAAAUAAAGUUGAAAAGUGUGGACGGGAAAGGACAUAAUGGGGAUACGGUUGCUUGAAAUGCUACAAGUAAAAGGAAGCUGUUAAGAUUCUGAAGUAUGGCUGAAGAUGCAAAAUCACCCAGGAAGGAUGAAUUCUUUAUAUUUCAGGACAGUUGCACCAUGCAGAGUUCAGCAAGCAACUAUGAUCUCUGGGUUGUAUUGACAAAAAGGAGGAAUCCUCUAAGAAUAGCAAUCAUGAACGCGGCCAGGAAUAAAACGAGGACACCAUUAUAAAAUUAUAAAGUUGGAGUACAGCUUCAAAACUUCAUUCAGCUUUUAUUUGAAGAAUCCCUCUUGAAACUUGAGAGUCCUAAGCUACUUGAUCGAAUAUAUUGCUCCUGUGAAACAGAAGGGAGAAACUAUGUCUGCAUAAGAACAAUGCUUGAAUUGAGUAUUCGUGAAAACUAUGUAAACUUUCAGUCAUUAAAUGAUUCCAAAAU
rnacentral:lncRNA from 1 species